rnacentral:rRNA from 1 species
AUUGAACGCUGGCGGCAUGCCUUACACAUGCAAGUCGAACGGUAACAGGUCUUCGGAUGCUGACGAGUGGCGAACGGGUGAGUAAUACAUCGGAACGUGCCCAGACGUGGGGGAUAACGAGGCGAAAGCUUUGCUAAUACCGCAUACGAUCUAAGGAUGAAAGCAGGGGACCGCAAGGCCUUGUGCGUUUGGAGCGGCCGAUGGCAGAUUAGGUAGUUGGUGGGAUAAAAGCUUACCAAGCCGACGAUCUGUAGCUGGUCUGAGAGGACGACCAGCCACACUGGGACUGAGACACGGCCCAGACUCCUACGGGAGGCAGCAGUGGGGAAUUUUGGACAAUGGGCGAAAGCCUGAUCCAGCAAUGCCGCGUGCAGGAUGAAGGCCUUCGGGUUGUAAACUGCUUUUGUACGGAACGAAAAGGCUCUAGCUAAUACCUGGGGCACAUGACGGUACCGUAAGAAUAAGCACCGGCUAACUACGUG